rnacentral:lncRNA from 1 species
GUUGAUGUACCAAUUUAAUAUAAUUUUCAUAUUUGAUUCAUAGAAUACUUAUUUAAAUAUAAUAUAGACUAUAAAUAUAUAAUUUAAAAAAAACAGCAUAGAAUUUUUUUUGUUUAUAAAAAUAUUUUAAUUAACAUUAGUUUAUAUAGUUGUAGAAUCACAAGCGUCAAAAUUUUUUGUAUUCCGUACAAUUAUUAUUUAUAUUCCGUAAAAACACAUUAGCAACCUAGUCAUUUAUAAUGAGAGUACUAAUUCAAAUUAACACGCGUCAAGAUUCUUUGUAUAGACAGUGUGUUCAGAGCUUCUUUAGUCGGACUUGGAAUUUAAAAAAAUAUUAUCA